rnacentral:rRNA from 1 species
AUUGAACGCUGGCGGCAGGCCUAACACAUGCAAGUCGAACGAGUGGCGGACGGGUGAGUAAUGUCUGGGGAACUGCCCGAUGGAGGGGGAUAACUACUGGAAACGGUAGCUAAUACCGCAUACCAUCGGAUGUGCCCAGAUGGGAUUAGCUAGUAGGUGGGGUAACGGCUCACCUAGGCGACGAUCCCUAGCUGGUCUGAGAGGAUGACCAGCCACACUGGAACUGAGACACGGCCCAGACUCCUACGGGAGGCAGCAGUGGGGAAUAUUGCACAAUGGGCGCAAGCCUGAUACAGCCAUGCCGCGUGUAUGAAGAAGGCCUUAGGGUUGUAAAGUACUUUCAGCGAGGAGGCGUUACCCGCAGAAGAAGCACCGGCUAACUCCGUGCCAGCAGCCGCGGUAAUUG